rnacentral:lncRNA from 1 species
CAGGAGGGAGGAGAAGGUAGCAAAGAGCUUCCUAGGGUUAGAGGCAGAUGCUUGGAAUUUAGAGUGGUAGAAAGUGCCUUUAGCAGCAGAGACAGAAGAGGAGAAUGUAGAGAGGAGGGAGUGAAAGGAUGCCAGGUUCGCAGGAGGCGAGUUUUCCUCCAUUUCCGCUCGGCUGCCCGGAGCCCUGUUCUGUACAAUACAGCUAGCCUUCAACAUAUUCUUAUAGCCUACAUAUUCUUACCUCUUUGUUGAUUGAUAUCCAUUGAAUUGUGUCCAGUCUAUGUUUUGGAAAGAUUUGCAUAAAUAUGAAAAGAUAGAUGGUAUCAUCAUAAAACAAUAUCAAUUUAGAUUAUACAUGCCAAAUUAUAUUAGACAAGCCUUACCGUAAAUUGAGGAGAUCUUUACAUUUUUCAGUUAAGUGCCUUCACCUGCUGUCCUUUCAAAUUCAAAUCCAAAUGUUUCAGUUGGGCAGUUAGGUUCCUGCAAGAACCCCCACCAACUAAGGAGGUUCCUCGAUGAACCCCACCUCCUGUGGGGUUUUUGAAAGAACCUUUUGGAGGCCAUGGCCAUUUUAGGUGCCAAAAACCGUAAGGUUCUUCAAAGAACUUUGAGGACCUUAGAAGAAACCUUGAUGAACCCCUAAUUUUUAGCGUGUACCAAGGUCAUCAGUUCUGCUUUAUGUAUACUGUAUGUAUAUGUUCAAGUGACAUUUUUGUGUUGUUUUAUAUCGCUGUUAUCUUCACCUCUGGACAGGUUGUCCUUGGAAAUAAGAAUUUGUUUUUUAAAUUGACUUAUAGUACCUGUAUAAAUACUGCUCUCUUUCUUUCCCCUCCCUUCCUGCCUGCUCUCUCCCUCCUCUUUCCCUCAUCCAAUCUCUCCCCCCUGCCUCUUCUCCCUGCCACCCCUCUCACACCCUCUCUGCCCCAGAUCUUCCCUUGCCCCCUGACUCCCAUGUCCACAGAGUCAGAUUCUGAGUCUUUUGCCGAGGACCCUAUUCACAACAGGGGGCGGCUGCCCUCCAUCGUGGUGCAGACUGACGAGGCAAGCGAGAUCAGGGAGCUGCUCUGCUCCCAGGGAGCAGAGGUGGAGCAGGAGGAGGACCCCUACAACAAGCAGAGCCUCCCCCAGACAGAGAGCUGCAUCAGUGGGGACAACCAAGAGGAUAUGGUGGUGCCGCAGGGAAGAAGAAAGAGUUCUAUUACAGCUCAAUCCCUCAGCGUUGCCCGUUUGACUCCUCCCCAUUCGACCCUCCACGAGACUGCCCCGCCCAAGCCUGAGGAGAUGAGCCAAUAGGAGCGGAGCACAAACAGUGACAUAUCUACAGAACUCUUUCUGACAUAAUCUUCGGAACUCUCUCUGGACACACAGCCUGUGGAUUUUUACCUCUCUGAUAUGUAACCAAAAAUGACAUGUUUCAAGAUGACUGGAAUGUGUUUUUAUCGUUUAAUGUGUUUAAUAAUUGUUUACUGUUAAAAUAAAGAUUUAAAAUGCCAUAUAUUAUCGAAACAGUAGUUCCUCCCCAUUUUGGGAAACUAGAAAGAAUGUGUACAUACAACAGAUAUACAAAGAUAUUAGCUACCCGUAGUUUUCAGACUGUAUUCAAGACACAGCUCUGUUGCUAUGUGACAAUAUGGAAACAAGCAAGUGGCUGGGGCUGCCUCUGUAAUGGCAUCCCAUUCCCUAUAUAGUGCACAACUUUUGACCAGAGCCCUAUGGGUCCCGGUCAAAAGGAAUGCACUAUACAGGGAAUAGGGUGCCAUUUGAGACACAUCCUAGGUCUGAGAGAUACUAAUAUACAGUGCAAUGGGCUGUUCAGGGUGAAUAUUUUCCAAUCUGACCCACACCUCUCCCCGCGGCAAAUAAUAUUGUUCAAUUAAAAACUAUCAACAUAGAUUUACAAACCAGCAGCUUGCAACUCUGGCAAAGCUGUUACUGUAGCAAUGGUGUCCUCUAUUGCCGUCAUGGAACAAGCAGGUCACAGCGUUGUUCGCUACCUAAAACAAAUAGGCUCCAUACACACUAAAGUUGAGGUACAAAGUAUUUUACACAAUGGAUGUGGUAUGGAUGUGAUACAAUUGUUAUUUUUGUGAUCCAAAGGAGUUUGUCUGCACACAAAUGUUCACACAACCAUUGUGCUGUCUCCGCAACAGUGGUGUAACACUUUUGUCAAAUUGGUUGUACAUCAGUUGUGCAAACAGAUUUUGUCACAGUUGCCCCUGCAUUUCCCUGGUGAUAAUAUGGGAGACACGUGUUAGGAUUUUAUUGAGAUGCAAAACGCUGGACUGUAAAGAUAAAACAUAGAAACCACUUGUUUGGAGCAAUUAUUGAUUGAUUUUUAUUUUGACCUACUGUACUCUUUUGAUAGCUUACUAUACGUAUGUUUUUGUGAGCACAUGCCAUUGUUUAGGACAUUAAAAUAAGGAUGUGGCACAGAAAGGAAAACAAAUGAAUAAUGUAACGUAGCUCAUUAAUAUUCACCUCAUCAUUUUGAUUAAUCACAAAAUGUUUAACUUGUAAUUGUGGCACCACAGAUGUGCUCCUAUGUUUUUCUCAUUGGGUGGAAAUUCCAGGCCAGGCACCAUCAAACGGUAUGAUUGUGAGCGAUAGCAAAUUACUCUGCAUUGAUGUGUAAUAUUUCAUCAACAAUAUGAAUAAAG